AGUAAGUGGCAUCCGAAGACUUUUAAUCUUUUGGUCGAUGGUUCGAAUCCAUCACGGCCCACCA
rnacentral:tRNA from 1 species